rnacentral:lncRNA from 1 species
GUCGUAGAAAAACACUAAGUAAAACUACCCAAAUAAACUAUUAUAACUAGUAGUACAACAUAUAAUAGCAAAUCCGCACAUCAACAGAGAAAGAAAAAUAAUAAUGACAAAUGAUAAAAGGAAAUUAGCACGCAGAUUUAUGUUAAAUGGCUCAAUGAAAACUACAUACACAAAAAAGAAAAUAAAUCGACCAUAAAACAUGUUUCUUUUUCCUCCAGAUGCUAUCGCCUCCUUCCCACAUCUCCUUUUCAAUAGCUUUCUUGAUGAUUUCAAAGCCCCCUUCUUUUCAUUAUCAUUUAUAAAUUAACAUAGUUUUACCUAUAUUUUUUGUGGGCACCGGCUCCAUUCCAGUCCCCUUGGAAAUGAGCAAAAACAUUACAAAUAAGUCAAAAAACACAAGUUCC